CCAUUUCUGUUGGGUGGGGAAUGAUGGACUGUUCAUUUUCACAUACAUGUUAUAUGCCACUAAGUACUCUUGGCUGCUUAUCCAAUUCCUUUGGGUCAAGGACAGAGUAGAAACUGAGGCUCUCUGAAAAAAAUAAAAUAGGAGAGGGUAAUGGUACUAGGGACGUUAGAUAUGACAAGAAGCAGGAUGCAACAAUCCAGAGGGCAAGGAUCCCUUUAGUCCAUGUCCCACUAAGGAAGGUGUGCUUACCCAACCAUCUCUCAUCAUUUAAGCUACCACUUAUGUGGCAGCUGUACAAAGGGACUAUUCAAAGCCUGACGAAGACUGUAUCAUCCCAUGGCAAGGGGCACAAACUGAGCAACUCAAGCUGCCUUAUCCUAAGGGAUUGGAACAGGAGAAGGAAAACAAAACUACAAAGGGAUUCUCGGACUUGAGUAUUUGAGAAGAACUUGGCUGUACCACAUAUCCCAGCUGUGCCUAUAGCUGCAUCUUACCACAUAGGUAUGCUCCAAAGUCAUCCUUAUUACUGAAGUGUCAUUGGGCCCAAACUCACUUAAUCCAACUACUGUUCUGUGCUAAAAAUGAAUGGAAGAUGUAACAUGUAAACUGAGAGUACCCUGAAGACUGAACUUGAGCUCCACCGGACUCAGGGUGGAUGUGGAACAUGCAGAUUUUAGAGUCAAGGACACUCUGAGCAGCAUACCCUGCAUUAAGAACCUAGAUGUACAAUUCUGUAGUCUGUUCACUCCAUUGCCCUGCUAAUCUCAUCUACCAUAUGAAGAGAAAAUUUCCCCAGCCAUCUUCAAAAAUAAAUUACCAACUACUUCUCUUCAGACCUUGCACUUCAAAUAUCAAAGCAAGGCAGUUAACGAGGCUGUACAAUAUCUGACUGUUAGAACAUUUUUGUGGAGAGAUUAAAAAGUCUGCAGCGACAACAGGAACUGUCUCACCCAAGCAGAGAUGCUAAGCAUGCACAUUCCAAGCCAAGAAGGAAACCAAAG